UGUCCAGCGGCUCCAGCUUCGCUCGGCUCAACGCUCAGAGAAACGAAGCAGCUCAAUAAAAAAAUUUGAUAUUAGUUUUUAUGGGUAUUUACACUCUGGUGAGGGGAGCUGAGUGCGGAAGCUCCAUUAAUCAGCCCCCAACCUCAGGUUUGCAUACUGAGUUUAU
ensembl:misc_RNA